rnacentral:lncRNA from 1 species
AGGUGGUGAGGCACUAUUACGCUCAGCUUUUACCUUGAGUUAUUGGAGACAACUCCCCACCCGUGUUCAAAAGAAUCAACCGUUUUACAUGGGUGUAUACGACUGUUAAAAAGCUAUCCUACCAGAUACCAACGUUGGUCUACUUAGGCCUUUGUGUAAAAUUUCCCCCUAUUUAAGGCUUGCCAAUUCCGGCCUUAUUUUCAAGAACAACCUUACCCUAUUGUACUUAAAUGAUUGUGAAUGUGGGAGAAAAUAUUGC